AUCUACGGGCAUACCACCCUGAACAUGCCCAAUCUUGUCUGAUCCCAGAAGCUAAACAGGGUUGGGCCUGGUUAGUACUUGGAUGGGAGAAACCUUACCUGUUCAUA
rnacentral:rRNA from 1 species